GUUGAUCGAAACGGCAUUAUGCGGAGGAUGAGUGUUUACUUAUAAUUAGCUUGCUGAUAAAAAAAUGGCUUUUCUCCUUGUUUUGUCAAAGCAAACAUCCUCUUCAGAUUUCUUUACUUCAGUGAAAACAAGUGCCAGUGGCUGACUGCUGGAUGACCUGUAAUAGUAAAAGUUGCGGAGGAGACCCCAACUGGCUCAAGAGAUUUUCACCUAUUGUUGCUCUUUCACAUUUCAUAUAUUCUGUUAGAGAAACACAGUAUCGGCGUACUCGCUGCGCUUCAAAGUCUCCACAAAGUCGAGGGCGGGAGAGACGGAGACGAGAUUCCCUGCGAGAGGCGACGGCAUCGCAAAACAUGUUCCACGCGAGUUGAAACCGAGGUCUUCGCUCAUUAAUGCUUAAUGCUUUAUCCCUCAGCGUUUGGCUCAGCCUGCAAGUCCCUGAUUACCUGCGGACAGAUCUAGAUUUCACCGCGUUGCUGCUGGUGCAUGAUUUCAAGUGAUCACAACGACUGAGUCGCCUGCUCUCUGUCCAACUGAAUAAUUGACGACGUACAGAAUAGCUACACGGCAGAUUUCAUGUCUGAAAGUUGGGAUGCUGCAGGAAGGAGUGCGGCCAGAAAACUCCAGCGGAGGAUAUUAUCGGCUGUUUCCAUGGGAAUGUUUGAUCAGAAAUGAAGCAACUACAAUUUGUUACUAUCUUAACAACAAAGGAGAGGCCCCCUGCUGGCACUGUGGAGAGCAGAACAGACCGGCAGAAUGUAUGAGGGCUCAGUGCAGUAUCUCCCCGUAACAGCAAGAUAAAAACGUGACAGAAUGAAAUCCCCGGCACACACGACU